rnacentral:rRNA from 1 species
CAGUCGCCGCGGUAAUACAGAGGGUGCAAGCGUUAAUCGGAAUUACUGGGCGUAAAGCGCGCGUAGGUGGUUUGUUAAGUUGGAUGUGAAAUCCCCGGGCUCAACCUGGGAACUGCAUCCAAAACUGGCAAGCUAGAGUAUGGUAGAGGGUGGUGGAAUUUCCUGUGUAGCGGUAAAAUGCGUAGAUAUAGGAAGGAACACCAGUGGCGAAGGCGACCACCUGGACUGAUACUGACACUGAGGUGCGAAAGCGUGGGGAGCAAACAGGAUUAGAUACCCCCGUAGUCCCUGUCUCUUAUAC